rnacentral:rRNA from 1 species
UACGUAGGUGACCAGCGUUGUCCGGAUUUACUGGGCGUAAAGAGCGCGCAGGCGGUCGUUCAAGUCGAGUGUGAAAGCCCCCGGCUCAACUGGGGAGGGUCACUCGAUACUGAUCGACUUGAAGGCAGGAGAGGGAAGCGGAAUUCCCGGUGUAGUGGUGAAAUGCGUAGAUAUCGGAAGGAACAUCAGUGGCGAAAGCGACUUCCUGGACCAGUAACCGACGUUCAGGCACGAAAGCCGUGGGGAGCAAACAGGA